rnacentral:lncRNA from 1 species
UUAGAAUUUCAAAACAAGAAGAAAAUAGAAGAAAUGGUAUAGAAAUCCCUAACUAAUCUUUGAUCUUGCCACUCAAAAAUUCCAGCAAUCCCUCUUUCACAAAUUUGCAUGGUUCUCUUUCCUCAUAGCUUUGUUUCUUGCGUACUAUAGCUUGUUGGAAAGCUAACAAUACUAUCUAGUUUCUUUGAAAAUUUCAAUAUAGAAUGAUGAAAAUUUUGUAAGUGGCCUUCAAAACUCCGAACUAGAUUUGAAUCUUGCCCCUUCCCUCCAAAUUUCCAGCAACCCUCUCUUUCUCCUCCUUUUGAUUCCAACCUCCUCCCCCUCUCCCUCUUUCUACAAAAAAAAAAAAAAAAAAAAAAAAAAAACCUUAAUGCCAAAAAUACCUAUUCUUAAUCCUCUCCAAAUAUCCAUC